GUGGGCGUGGUGUAGGGGUUAACACAUCUGGUUGUGGCCCAGAAGAUCGUGGGUUCGAAUCCCACCGUCCACCCCA
rnacentral:tRNA from 2 species